rnacentral:rRNA from 1 species
UGGUGGAGUGAUUUGUCUGCUUAAUUGCGAUAACGAACGAGACCUUAACCUGCUAAAUAGCCAGGCUAGCUUUGGCUGGUCGCCGGCUUCUUAGAGGGACUAUCGACUCAAGUUGAUGGAAGUUUGAGGCAAUAACA